rnacentral:rRNA from 1 species
UAGUCCACGCCCUAAACGAUGUAUGCUUGGUGUUGGAACGUAAGUUCUAGUGCCGGAGGUAACCCGUUAAGCAUACCACCUGGGGAGUACGAUCGCAAGGUUGAAACUCAAAGGAAUUGACGGGGGCCCGCACAAGCGGUGGAUCAUGUGGUUUAAUUCGAUGCAACGCGAAGAACCUUACCCAGGCUUGAAGUGCUAGUGACCGCUGCCGAAAGGUAGCUUUUCUUCGGAACAUUAGCAGAGGUGCUGCAUGGCUGUCGUCAGCUCGUGCCGUGAGGUGUUGGGUUAAGUCCCGCAACGAGCGCAACCCUUAUCUUUAGUUGCCAUCAGGUUAAGCUGGGAACUCUAAAGAGACUGCCCGCGUAAGCGGAGAGGAAGGUGGGGACGACGUCAAGUCAUCAUGGCCCUUAUGUCUGGGGCUACACACGUGAUACAAUGGUGCACACAAUGGGCGAAGCCGCAAGGUGGAGGAAAUCCAUAAAGUGCAUCUCAGUUCGGA